UCGAAUCACAGCCAACUGCUGCU
rnacentral:miRNA from 2 species